rnacentral:lncRNA from 14 species
ACAUCAAGCAUGAAGCUUUCAAAACCAUGUGUCAAAGGCACUGGAGCCAGUGAAGCCAGUGGCGUGCAGGCGGUUGCGACUCGCAAGAUCUAG